rnacentral:rRNA from 1 species
UACGUAGGGACCGAGCGUUGUCCGGAUUUAUUGGGCGUAAAGAGCUCGUAGGCGGCCGCGCGAGUCGAUUGUGAAAACUCGGGGCUCAACCCCGGGCCUGCAUUCGAUACGGGCAGACUAGAGUUCGGUAGGGGAGUCUGGAAUUCCUGGUGUAGCGGUGAAAUGCGCAGAUAUCAGGAGGAACACCGGUGGCGAAGGCGGGACUCUGGGCCGAUACUGACGCUGAGGAGCGAAAGCGUGGGGAGCAAACAGG